rnacentral:siRNA from 1 species
GCGGAGCGGCCGUCGGUGCA